UCAAGCUACAAAGGGCACAUGGUGGAUGCCUUGGCGUCAGGAGGCGAUGAAAGACGUGGUAAGCUGCGAUAAGCUUCGGGGAACCGCUAAACAGGUUUAGAUCCGGAGAUUUCUGAAUGGGGAAACCCAUUAGGAGUAAUAUCUUAAUAUCUAUUACUGAAUUCAUAGGUAGUAGAGGCUAACGAGGGGAACUGAAACAUCUAAGUACCCUUAGGAAAAGAAAACAAUAGUGAUUCUCCUAGUAGCGGCGAGCGAAAGGGGAAGAGCUUAAACCAAAUAUAUGAAAUAGCCCAUAAGCGUUGUAUAUUUGGGGUUGUGGGUUUUUAUCGGAUGAGGUUAUGGACUCGUCGAGAAGUUACAAAUCUAAUUUAUAGUUGAACAACCUGGAAAGGUUGACCGCAGAGGGUGAUAGUCCCGUAAGCGAAAUGAAUUAGACUUCUUGGAUAGAAUACCCGAGUACCACGGGACACGGGAAAUCUUGUGGGAAUCUGGGAGGACCAUCUCCCAAAGCUAAAUACUACCUGGCGACCGAUAGUGAACUAGUACCGUGAGGGAAAGGUGAAAAGUACUCCGGUGAGGAGAGUGAAAUAGUACCUGAAACCGUGUGUCUACAAGCAGUGGGAGUCCUAUUUAUGGUUGCUUGUCAACCGUGAAGGAUGACCGCGUGCCUUUUGCAUAAUGAGUCAGCGAGUUAUUCUGUGUCGCAAGGUUAAGCCGUUAGGUGUAGCCGUAGCGAAAGCGAGUCUUAAUAGGGCGUAUCCCCGCUUAAGCGGGGUGUAGUUGCACGGAGUAGACCCGAAACCGAGUGAUCUACCCAUGGCCAGGGUAAAACGGGAGUAAGAUCCCGUGGAGGCUCGAACCGGUGUUGGUUGAAAACAGCUCGGAUGAGCUGUGGGUAGGAGUGAAAGGCUAAUCAAACUCGGAGAUAGCUGGUUCUCCCCGAAAUAUAUUUAGGUAUAGCCUUGCAAUUGAGUGAUGGAGGUAGGGCACUGGAUGGGCUAGGGGUCUUACAGGAUUACCAAACCCAACCAAACUUCGAAUGCCAUUAUCUCUUAUUGCAGGAGUCAGACUACGGGAGAUAAGUUCCGUGGUCGAGAGGGAAACAACCCAGACCAUCAGCUAAGGUCCCCAAAAUGUACUUAGUGGAAAAGGAAGUGGAAACGUUCAGACAGCCAGGAGGUUGGCUUAGAAGCAGCCAUCCUUUAAAGAAAGCGUAACAGCUCACUGGUCGAGUGGGUCUGCGCCGAAAAUGUAACGGGGCUCAAGUACAUUACCGAAGCUAUGGCUCUCUAUGUUUUGCAUAGGGGGGGUAGGGGAGCAUUCCAUUGUAGGUUGAAGAUCGACCGAAAGGACGGUUGGACGAAAUGGAAGAGAGCAUGCUGACAUGAGUAGCGAUAAUGCCGGUGAGAAACCGGCACGCCGUAAACCUAAGGUUUCCUGAGGAAGGUUAAUCCGCUCAGGGUUAGUCAAUACCUAAGCUGAGGCCGAAAGGCGUAAGUGAUGGAAAACAGGUUAAUAUUCCUGUACCACCAUGUAAGCGUUUGAGUGAAGGGGGGACGUGGAAGGGUAGAUCAUCCAGGGAUUGGAUGUCCUGGUUCAAGCCAGUAGGUGGAGAGGGUAGGCAAAUCCGCCCUCUUGUAUAACACCGAGAGGUGAUGAGGAUCUCGAUUUCGAGAAUAAACUGAUUGAUCCCAUGCCACCAAGAAAAGCCUCGUAUCGAUCUUAUUUGUUGAUUGUACCGUAAACCGACACAGGUAGGUGAGGAGAGUAUCCUAAGGCGCUUGAGUGAAUCCUCGUUAAGGAACUCGGCCAAUUGACCCCGUAACUUCGGGAGAAGGGGUGCCCUUGUUAGGUGAAGUAACUUGCUUACGGAGCCGAAAAGGGCCGCAGAGAAAUGGCUGUAGCGACUGUUUACUAAAAACACAGGUCUCUGCUAAGUCGUAAGACGAUGUAUAGGGACUGACGCCUGCCCGGUGCUAGAAGGUUAUGGGGAUUUGUCAUCUUUCCAAUUCGUUGGGAAGAGAAGCAGUGAACCGAAGCCCUAGUAAACGGCGGCCGUAACUAUAACGGUCCUAAGGUAGCGAAAUUCCUUGUCGGGUAAGUUCCGACCUGCACGAAUGGUGCAACGACUUCAGCACUGUCUCAACGAGGAGCUCAGCGAAAUUGAAUUGGCGGUGAAGAUGCCGUCUACCCGCGACAAGACGGAAAGACCCCGGCACCUUUACUAUAGCUUGACAGUGAAUUUUGGUGUAGCUUGUGUAGGAUAGGUGGGAGACUUUGAAAUUGAGGCGCUAGCCUUGAUGGAGUCGUCCUUGAAAUACCACCCUGGUUAUUCUGGCAUUCUAAUCCAGGUCCGUUAUCCGGAUCGGAGACACUGUCUGGUGGGUAGUUUGACUGGGGCGGUCGCCUCCAAAAAAGUAACGGAGGCGCACGAAGGUUCCCUCAGGCUGAUUGGAAACCAGCCGUAGAGUGUAAGGGCAUAAGGGAGCUUGACUGUGAGACUGACAAGUCGAGCAGGUGCGAAAGCAGGUCCUAGUGAUCCGGCGGUUCCGCAUGGAAGGGCCGUCGCUCAACGAAUAAAAGGUACGCCGGGGAUAACAGGCUUAUCUCCCCCAAGAGUCCACAUCGACGGGGAGGUUUGGCACCUCGAUGUCGGCUCAUCGCAUCCUGGGGCUGUAGUUGGUCCCAAGGGUUUGUCUGUUCGCCAAUUAAAGCGGUACGUGAGCUG
rnacentral:rRNA from 1 species